UACGGAGGGUGCAAGCGUUGCUCGGAAUUAUUGGGCGUAAAGGGUAGGUAGGUGGUCUUAUUUGUCUGGGGUGAAAGCCUCGAGCUUAACUCGAGAAGUGCCUUAGAAACGGUAAGACUAGAGUCCUGGAGAGGGUCGUGGAAUUCCCGGUGUAGCGGUGAAAUGCGUAGAGAUCGGGAGGAACACCAGAGGCGAAGGCGGCGACCUGGACAGGAACUGACACUAAACUACGAAAGCGUGGGGAGCGAACAGG
rnacentral:rRNA from 1 species